GACCCUCAAAUGAUAGCCAGUUGAUCAAAAGUAUAGGUGUGGAGGGCAGGCUGUGCCCGGCUUUGAGUUACUCCAUGGUGUAUAGAAUAGUAGUUUUCAGGCUGUGCCUAACUGUGAGUUAUUCCAUUUUAUAAGGCAGUGGUUUGCCACGUAUGAGAUAUUCCGGUUUGAGUACAAAUGCUGAGGUAGAAAGACUCUAUACCUUAUCUGUGCAAGAAAACAACUACAUCUACUACCACAAAUAUAAGGCAUGACUGAUAAAUAAAUUAAUCAUGCAAAUCAAAAUGACCACCUGUGAACUUACUGAAUUAAUCAGAAGCACAUGGAUGCAUGGGCAUAUUGACUCAAUAGCAGAAAAGCCAGGCCCAUGAGUUUACCAAUGUAUCAGACUACUAAAUGAAGCAACACCCUCACCUGAGACCCACUAAAGGAGGAGUGCCCCAAGACUGGACUCACACUGACCCUGCCACCUGAUCACUUGUCCAAGCCUUUCCCUAGAAAGUCUCCAAAAGUGAUGAACUUCUGGUUCUGUCCCCCAGGGUUCAGCCAAAGCACAGUUUCUCCUGCCAAUGAUGACCCACUUCAAGCUGACAUUUCAAGCUGACAUUGAAACUGAAGUGCCUCUGGACCCUGGCCUAAAACAAGUUCCAACUUUGAUAGCCCUCUACCCUAAACAAGUUAUUUGGCUCAUUUCUGUUCUUAUAUGACUACCUACAAUUGACUCUUUGCAUUCUAUCUGCUCUCUGUUUUUGCUCUCAGUUAAAUCUCC
rnacentral:lncRNA from 1 species